UAAAGAAUUAGCAUCACGUCAAGCUUUACGAUGACGUGAAUACUCGUCACAGUUAACUGGUUAACUGAAUAUGUUGCGACGUUACUCGUUAGGCAAUUUGGUUCCAGCGUUAAUCUCGCGAGAAAUUGGAGUAAGAAACCGCUGUAUAGCUCCACUGAAAAAUGCAUCCGGCGCGUCAGCGUUUCCUCGAAGAAAAGCAACUUCGCCGGCGCGCUAACGACAAGGAAGCGAAGUCGCAUGCAAUAUUGAUUCAUUCGCGACACUUCAUCCACUUGUCCGAGCAGGGCCGACGUAAUCUACUUGCGCAUUUAUCUGCUCCCCAUUUGAUGCCGUUUAAAAAUAUUUCAUUACUCGCAAUAAACUCAGAGCUUAGAGAAGAGACUGCAGGUUAAUAUGUUUUCCGUAAAACGUAGACUGGAAGCUAGAGAAUUUCACGGAAAACCGAGGGCUGGAAGUUUUGAACGCUCAGCAAAGUUGAGGAGUUCAAGCUGAAAAGUAAGGUUAGGAAGCCGCUCGGCAAAACCAACGGACGUUGGCGCUUGGAGAAGAGGCGCGAAAGUUAUGAAUUUAAAAUGACUAUUGCUCCACUACGCCGCUCGCUAUGGAAAAUGAAAUGCAAUUGAAAUGAAACGAAUAAUAAGUUAUUUAAUUCAAGUAACAAACAUUCACCUCGCACAUUUAAUUACUUCCAUCGAUUACCAUUGCGAAUUACUAACACUGUAUUCCUCUGUUUUCGGUGAUGGCUAAAAGACUUAUUGAUCCACUAAUGAGUGGAAUGUCAAGUACAAUGUAUGUGGGUUACACGUGUGCAAAUGAAUGGGAACGCGUUUCGGCGCCAUUAAUCUGAUUAACGAUGUAGCGGCCGCUCGAUAUUACAUGGGACAAUUCGAGGGACAGACAGAGAGAAAGAGAGAGAAGAACAAUACUAACCAGUGUCCAGGCAGAUGCCCAUAGUAGGUCGUUGGAAGGAUGGGGAAAACCCGUCACGGCCAUUUACUCACAUGCUUCAAGCACCGACCGAUUCAUUUUCCGCUCACGCGUUCCUCGGCCCAGAGUCUCAAAGAUAGAACCGGUAACUCCUAGCUCACAUUAGAAACCCCUCUGGCCACGACGGAGCACAACAGACGUUCAAUCUACUCGUUACGCUGCCUCGCGUAAAACACAAUGUCUCUAAUUGUAUUUCUACCGUUCCAGUGGCAAUCUCUGGAUCCCAGGCCACGAGGUCUGUCAGCACGUUCACCUUCACUUGUUACACUGCCCGCCAGACAAGUCUUCCACGGUUCGCCAGAACUUCCUUGAACUGGCUGCUACUCGAACUCAAGCGAAAUCUUUAUUCGUCGUUCCAGUCCAACUUUAACGUUCACUGUCGCUUGCAUCCCCCGACUGAUAGGAAUCUUCAGUUAAUUAGCAAUCAUGCUCGCCGACGAGGCGUCACUGGAUUGACUUCUGACGCGUAUUCGCGGUAACGAAUCGAACGCGCUGGGACACGACUCCAGCAAGGCCCCAUUCAUGGAAAAGACGGAGCGAUCCUGUCGAGCCCCAUCACCGUUCCAGGAUGGACGCCGGUCUUCUAGAAAGGACAGCGAACGCGACGGCGACAGAGACGACGCUUUGAUAAGCAACUGUGGUUGUGUGGAACAGUUGAGCCCGGAUGCAGAGCCGUUGAUCCUCGAGCAAGGAAGCCGAAGAGGAGACCGCAAAGGGAACGUCGGUUCGUCGCAGAAGGGAACUGCAAAGGUUCGCGAGCAAAGGUAUCCUCGCCACGGCGCGAUAACACUCUAAUAGAUUGAUAGAAGCGACUAGAGGUCGUGGCAAGAGUCAAUCGUCGCCAUAGAAACGCCCAUGCGCAGCUUGUUCUAUUCGGCGACUUCCUGUGCCCUUCCUUGGUUGCCUGUGUGACCCUGCAGGAAGGUCGUCGACACCGGAUAAUUGUCCGGUUAAUCGAGUACUCAGUCGAGGAUAUUUCUCAUUGGAAAUAUCGACGAAUGCUGUGACAAAUGUUGUGACAAAUGCCGGCCAGUAUCGGCUCCAACACAGUCAACAGAAUUUAAUUGAAAAUCCGGUUGGCUAAGGGCGAUAUAUCGUCAGCACCGCGCCGCUACCGACAUGGAUUGAAUUAUUUAAAACUGUCCAUCAUACAGCUGCCUUAGUCCCAUGCGUCCAUACAUAAUUCUUACAAGGUAAGCCAGUUAGAAGUAUCCACGCCCUCUUUCCAAUGGCAAAUACGUCUGUCAAAGGGUCACGUUUAUCGGAAACUCUUAUUACAGUGUUCCUAGUACCGUUGGCUCUC